UUUACAACCCUUACCGAAAGCAAUUGGAGGGCAAGUCUGGUGCCAGCAGCCGCGGUAAUUCCAGCUCCAAUAGCGUAUAUUAAAGUUGUUGCAGUUAAAAAGCUCGUAGUUGAAGUUCUGAUUGUUCGGGCCUCGCGCUUUAUAGCCGAGGAACCGACAGUCAUCCGCUUGCAAAUAUAUGUUCGCCUUUAACCGGGUGGCUAUAUGAGUAAGCAAUUUACCUUGAGAAAAAACAGAGUGUUCCAGGCAGGUUUGUCCGGAAUGCAUUAGCAUGGAAUAAUAGAAUAUGACUGAAGUCGAUUUAUUGGUUUAAGGCUUUAGUAAUGAUUAAUAGGAACAGUCGGGGGCAUUGGUACUUGACAGUCAGAGGUGAAAUUCUAGGAUUUGUCAAAGACUAACAAAUGCGAAAGCAUUUGCCAAGGAUGUUUUCAUUAAUCAAGAACGAAAGUUAGGGGAUCAAAGACGAUCAGAUACCGUCCUAGUCUUAACUAUAAACUAUACGACUCGGAUUCAGAUGAAUC
rnacentral:rRNA from 1 species